CUAAUUACGUAUAGAUCCCUACAAAUAUAAUAAAAUUUAAAUAUUUUUUUUAUAAACUUUAAUUUUUAUGUAUUAUUUUAAAAAAAAUUUUAAUGCUUUCAAAUAUAUUCCUAUCGUUACACACUGUUAGAAAAUUUUAAUUAGUUAAUCAUAUGUUAAACACUUAAUUCUAAUUAGUUUAUGAGAUAAUUUGAUAUUUUUGUCUAUUUUUAUAUUAUAUUAUUUUCGUUUUUCGAAGUGGCAUAUUUAUGAUGACAAAAUUGACAUUUUACUUAUUUGUUGUCAAAAUAAAUAAUUCUUUAACAGUAACAAAUCAGAGAAAUAUAUUUGAAAAUAUUAAAAUUUUUACAAAACUUCAUAUAAAAGUUAAAUUUUAUAGAAAUAUAUUCAAAAUUUACUAUAUUUAUAGGGAUAUGUAUGUAUUUAAUCCUAGUAAUAAAAUCAACUUGAAAAAU
rnacentral:lncRNA from 1 species